rnacentral:rRNA from 1 species
GACGAACGCUGGCGGCGUGCUUAACACAUGCAAGUCGAGCGGUAAGGCCCUUUCGGGGGUACACGAGCGGCGAACGGGUGAGUAACACGUGGGUGACCUGCCCUUACGCUCUGGGGAUAAGCCUGGGAAACUGGGCCUAAUACCGGAUAUGACUCCAUAACGCAUGUUAGUGGGGUGGAAAGCCUUGUGCGGCUAGGGAUGGGCCCGCGGCCUAUCAGCUUGUUGGUGGGGUGAUGG